rnacentral:lncRNA from 1 species
GUGAGCACGGCAAGAUGCCGAUGAUGUCGUGCGAUACGGCGAGGCUGUGAGAAGCAGCGAGACGCGACGAAGCUGGAGGAUGAUGGGCUGCUCGUUCAGGUUGAGCCGAGUGAUUUGGCCAAGCCGUAGUUAGUUAGAGUGUGCUGGUUGGUUGUAGCUAGCUAGCUUCGUGCAUGAAGUAGUAGGCCACGUUGAGACAUGGAGCUAGUUUUAGAUAUGGCCGAGUCGUGUGGCCGUUGGAGUGAUUUCAGGAGUAGGAUAAGGCUGUUAGUGCAUGCAUAGAUUAGUGGGAUUAGUUGCCGAGAGAGGUGGCUGGCCAGUGCGUGUAUGGUCCUUGUAUAUAUAUGUUUCAGUGGAGUAAUGAAGAGAGGAGGCCGAGAGGGCUGAGCAGAGAAACCAUGUAGCCAUUGUGGUUCACCAAGGGAGUGUCUCUGGCAAAGCCGUUCCUCUUCCUUGGUAUAUGCGUGCGUGUGUGUGUGUGUGUUCAUGAGAGAGUUCUUGAGAGAAAACACAAGAGAAUUGUGUGAGAGGGAGAAGAGAGUUGUGAGAGGCAACUCGAGGUAGAAGAAGGAGCGGCGCUGCGAGGAGGCGGCGCCAACAAUUGGCAUCAGAGCCUUGUUGAUCCGUGGCGGCGACGACGGUGCCGGCGGCUAUGGUGGCCGGCGUGGCGCUGGGCGCGAGGUGAUGGCUGGCAGCGGCGCGAUGCCGCGGGCGGCCGGUUGCGGUGCGAUGCCGCGAGAUGAAGGUGGUGCGAUGAUCGGCGUCGCGAGGACGUCAUCCACGACAAGAUGGUCCAUGGUGACCGGCGCUGCGACGGCGUCGGUUGUGGCGCGACGGACUUCAUGCGAGAUGGAGGCCGACGGCGCAAGAAGGAGGAUGGUGGCCAUGCGGUGCCGCUAUGUGAAGAUGGCGGUGCGAAGCUGCCACAAGAAGAGUCGGCGUGAUGCCGACGACGGUGGUGUGAUGCCAUCGUCAUCAUGGAAAGUUGGUGUGAAGCCAACAAAAGUUGCGGUGCGAUGCCGCUUGGCGAAGACGGCGUGGUGAUCGGCGCUGCGACAGCGUGGUCCACGUCGAGAGGAGGCCGCCACGAGCGGCAAGUCGGCAUGGUGACGGACGCUGUGAUGGGGUCGUCCACGACAAGAUGGUGCAUGGUGGUUGGCGCUGCGACGGCGUCGUGCACGGCAAGGUGUUGCGGGCGAUCCGCGAGAGGAACUUGCGGUUUAGCAUGACAAGAUUAGGGAGGUGAUUGUUAGCACUAAUCUUGUCAUGAUGUACCAGCAUGCAUGUUUAGUUUUGAGUUUGCAUGUAGUUUAGAUGAUCUAGGGCAGUGUAUGUAGGCCAAUGAUACUUCAGCUACGCGCGUGAAGAAAGCGAGAUGUCGGGCUGCCGUGCGAUGCGGUGAGCACGGCAAGAUGCCGAUGAUGUCGUGCGAUACGGCGAGGCUGUGAGAAGCAGCGAGACGCGACGAAGCUGGAGGAUGAUGGGCUGCUCGUUUAGGUUGAGCCGAGUGAUUUGGCCAAGCCGUAGUUAGUUAGAGUGUGCUGGUUGGUUGUAGCUAGCUAGCUUCGUGCAUGAAGUAGUAGGCCACGUUGAGACGUGGAGCUAGUUUUAGAUAUGGCCGAGUCGUGUGGCCGUUGGAGUGAUUUCAGGAGUAGGAUAAGGCUGUUAGUGCAUGCAUAGAUUAGUGGGAUUAGUUGCCGAGAGAGGUGGCUGGCCAGUGCGUGUAUGGUCCUUGUAUAUAUAUGUUUCAGUGGAGUAAUGAAGAGAGGAGGCCGAGAGGGCUGAGCAGAGAAACCAUGUAGCCAUUGUGGUUCACCAAGGGAGUGUCUCUGGCAAAGCCGUUCCUCUUCCUUGGUAUAUGCGUGCGUGUGUGUGUGUGUGUUCAUGAGAGAGUUCUUGAGAGAAAACACAAGAGAAUUGUGUGAGAGGGAGAAGAGAGUUGUGAGAGGCAACUCGAGGUAGAAGAAGGAGCGGCGCUGCGAGGAGGCGGCGCCAACAAUUGGCAUCAGAGCCUUGUUGAUCCGUGGCGGCGACGACGGUGCCGGCGGCUAUGGUGGCCGGCGUGGCGCUGGGCGCGAGGUGAUGGCUGGCAGCGGCGCGAUGCCGCGGGCGGCCGGUUGCGGUGCGAUGCCGCGAGAUGAAGGUGGUGCGAUGAUCGGCGUCGCGAGGACGUCAUCCACGACAAGAUGGUCCGUGGUGACCGGCGCUGCGACGGCGUCGGUUGUGGCGCGACGGACUUCAUGCGAGAUGGAGGCCGACGGCGCAAGAAGGAGGAUGGUGGCCAUGCGGUGCCGCUAUGUGAAGAUGGCGGUGCGAAGCUGCCACAAGAAGAGUCGGCGUGAUGCCGACGACGGUGGUGUGAUGCCAUCGUCAUCAUGGAAAGUUGGUGUGAAGCCAACAAAAGUUGCGGUGCGAUGCCGCUUGGCGAAGACGGCGUGGUGAUCGGCGCUGCGACAGCGUGGUCCACGUCGAGAGGAGGCCGCCACGAGCGGCAAGUCGGCAUGGUGACGGACGCUGUGAUGGGGUCGUCCACGACAAGAUGGUGCAUGGUGGUUGGCGCUGCGACGGCGUCGUGCACGGCAAGGUGUUGCGGGCGAUCCGCGAGAGGAACUUGCGGUUUAGCAUGACAAGAUCAGGGAGGUGAUUGUUAGCACUAAUCUUGUCAUGAUGUACCAGCAUGCAUGUUUAGUUUUGAGUUUGCAUGUAGUUUAGAUGAUCUAGGGCAGUGUAUGUAGGCCAAUGAUACUUCAGCUACGCGCGUGAAGAAAGCGAGAUGUCGGGCUGCCGUGCGAUGCGGUGAGCACGGCAAGAUGCCGAUGAUGUCGUGCGAUACGGCGAGGCUGUUAGAAGCAGCGAGACGCGACGAAGCUGGAGGAUGAUGGGCUGCUCGUUCAGGUUGAGCCGAGUGAUUUGGCCAAGCCGUAGUUAGUUAGAGUGUGCUGGUUGGUUGUAGCUAGCUAGCUUCGUGCAUGAAGUAGUAGGCCACGUUGAGACGUGGAGCUAGUUUUAGAUAUGGCCGAGUCGUGUGGCCGUUGGAGUGAUUUCAGGAGUAGGAUAAGGCUGUUAGUGCAUGCAUAGAUUAGUGGGAUUAGUUGCCGAGAGAGGUGGCUGGCCAGUGCGUGUAUGGUCCUUGUAUAUAUAUGUUUCAGUGGAGUAAUGAAGAGAGGAGGCCGAGAGGGCUGAGCAGAGAAACCAUGUAGCCAUUGUGGUUCACCAAGGGAGUGUCUCUGGCAAAGCCGUUCC